AGGUGGUAGAUUCUGAAGAUUGUUGCUAACCCAGGGCUCAUCCUCUUUUGAGUCAUGGAUUCAGAGGACUGCUAGCAAGCUCUUAAAUACUUCUGCUUUGUGUGAUUUAGUGGAUGGAACUGCAGGACUCAUAGAAGCCUGUGGAAGGUUUUCAGAACAUGGAUUAAUUGAAUAAUCAUUGAAUCUUUUGAAUAUACUAGUCCCUUUGAGGAAGAAAGGCCAUUUUACUGACGGAAGCCAUUUGUAAGGGGCUUUUAAAAGUUUAAAAAGCCCAGUUACUGCAGUUACUGCCCAUCUGUAUUUAUUUUAACUAUCACUCCCAUCUUCUUGUGUGAAGGAAAUGACUAUAUGGUUUCAACAAAGAAAAAGUUUUGCCAACUCUUUUUAACUGAAGAAACUUCAUCCACGUGUUACUCCUAACUGGAUUUUUGUCUUCCUGACUAUCCGCAAGGGGAAACUACCCCAUGAAGGAUACUAACCCUUCUGGCAGUAUCUGUGAUGUGUCUCAUUCAGAACCCGGUGGGCUCUCCACAGAUGAUUGGCAGUACUUUUAUCUAGAGGGGAAAGAGAAGGAAUCCAGUUACUGGAAACAGUGAGUGCAGCUUCAGAAAUUGUUGUCUCUCCCGAGUGGAGAAGUUGUUUGACCUCCUGACUCAUUUCAUAGGAAUUGGAGAAAACAACCUAGUGUGGUUUUCAUUGUUAGUCCUGGAAGAUUCCAAAAUCUGUGUGUCUGCAAAUGAGAUGAGCUGGAGAAAGGUAGUGUUGGCACUUGCUGUUUCUACUUGCCUGCUCUCCUAAUGGAAUUCAGUCCCUUGCCUCCAGACGAGUCCAGCCUGUUCCUGGGGAUCCCUUGUGUGGCCGUUCAGUGGUUCCAGCACCAGUCUCAGAAGAUCCCCAAGGCCCACUUCACUGCCCCAGACUCCCAUCUCUGCCUGCGCUCCUCUGUCUUCCUCAUCUCUUCACCUGCUAAUACCUGUGCAUUCUGAAGAGUCGUCUCAGGUAUCACCUCCUCCACGGAGCCCUCUGCCUUAGGUUAGAUGAUGUCAUGUGAUGUAAUCAGAGGGAGGAGGGAAGUGGGGAAAACGUGAGCAUGCUGUGUUAGAACCAGGUCUGUUCUUCCUCUCCCACAAGGCGCAAGCUACCUGAGGGGGAGGCUGUCCGUGUCACCGGGUCUGGCUGUCACUGUUGUCCUCCUUACAGAAGGAAUAAGGGGAGGCACAAUAAAAGCAGGCCAAGGCCCAGGCCACCGACUUCCUCCUGCGCCUGGCGGAGCUUGGGAAAGAGCUCAGCUAAGCUCCAGGCAGAGUGAAGGCGCAGCAGUCAGGGUGGGUGGAAGGAAGCCUUGCCUCACAGAGCAGCUGGCUAAACUCUCCUUCCUGCCCGCCCUCCAGAUUCCACAGCAGGACCCACCCACCUGUACUGCACACCCUUUUUGACAUGUACCCCGAGCACUAUCCAGAGUCUAGGACUCAAGAAUUAUUUCCUGAUGGACUUAAUUACUUAUUUAGCAGGCGAUGUGGCAAAAGCACAUCCUGGAGUGUCUGUUAAAUCAACUGUACUUCUAUUAAAAAAAAAAAAGACCAGGGAAGGAAAAAAAAAAAAAAAGACGUGUGUUACUGUCUCUCUGUGGGUAUAAGGCGUUGUGCUGGCCACUGUGGGCAGUCAGAGGGAAGGCCUUCUGGGCCUGCAUGGGGCUGACUGUCCAGCUGGGGAGAAAAUGAGCAUGCAGGCCACAUCGGGGACGAGAUAGCCGGGGCGACCACGUCACAAGGCAGCAUGUGAUUAAUUGCCAAACAAAUGGCUCAAGAACAUGGUGGUGAUUGAACAUGGUAUGUCCAAGUGCCCCACCCCUCAGCACUUCUGAGCCCAGCGGGCCCUGCCUUCUGCCUCUCUCACCCAGGAGUAACCCCGUUGAUGCGUCUCAUACAGCAUAGGUACUCAGCCAGUCGGGCCAAGUCCUUCAAGCUCAGAUCCCGGCCUGCCUCCCGGCCCCCAGGGCCUUCUACCCUUGAACCCAAAGCUGCAGAGAUGCUCAAGAGAACGUGCCAUCUUGUUUCUGAACAACCCACCUCCCUCCCUUGUCCAGCCUUGUCCCUCCUUUAAAACCCUCCUCUUCUUUUAAAACCCAGCCUAGAGUUCCUCCAUAAAGCCUGCUGAGCCCCUUGCGUGUGCUGGACGGCAAUGCGCACGUGAGUUUGUCCUGCGGCAGGAGGAGGGAAGGAGGUGAACUCCUGCCGCAGGGUCCUGUCUCUUCUCCUCACACUCUGAGCACAUGUCCCAUAAGCGUUUGUCAUUGACCGAAACACAUUACGACUGAGCACGCAUCGGUUGGUUCUGCAGUUGAGACCUGCGUGCUGGUGAGUGCAGAAGGUGACAUGCCCAGGCGGUCCAGGGAGGCUGCAUACAGUAGGGAAGGUUGAACUGCACCUUAAAGGUUCCGUUCAGAGAACAGGUAGAGAACGAGGAGCGUCUGAGGUGGGAUAGCCCUGUGUCUGACUGCUGACAGCCCAAUUGGCCUCUCAAAACAGAAGCACAGAGGAGAGGGAGCGAGCCCUGCAGGGCAGAGUGGUGGGGGUGGCUUAUUUUAGCUGGAGCAGAGGGUUUACCUAAAGGCAGGCAGGAGGCUGCCCUGGAGGAAGGGUGGAUGUAAGUGAUGGAAGGUGAUGGGAAGACCUCAAAUGCAGUGGGGUAUCUUGCAGCAGUGGGCACCCUCUGUUACCUGUGAAAACCAUGGUGAUCUGACCAAAGUGGUGUUGAAAGUGGGAGCUGCCCCAUGGCCCUUCCUUAAUUUUAACACCACGGUCCAAGGCCCACCAUCUCGGUGCUGCCCGAGACGGUCAGCACCCAGGUGCGGAGCCCCUCCACACACACACAGCCUCACCUGGAAACACUGGGCUUCCUGUAAACAAAGGCUCUGCUUCCGGCACUGCCCUUGACCUGGCUCUGAGCUGUUGAUUCUUUGAGUCCAUUCAGCUCUGCCCUGUCCCUGUCCCCUCGUGACUGGCAGUGACCCGGAAGGUGGCAGCGCCCCCGCAGCAGGUGGCCUCCAGAGCUGAGUCACCGCCCUGGGAACAGUGCCCUGGCAAGGCCGGCCCAGGCAAACCGGGAGGUCUCCACCUCGCCCAGCUCUGCAAGGCUCUCAGGGCACCGUUGGUGCUCCCGAGAAAGGGAUCCUUUAUGCAUCCCGAGUGUCAUCAGGCUGAUAGGAAAAGUGAAAUAGAGGCCACGGAAGACCAAAAAGGAAACUGUCCUGAUGGUCAUUUCUGGCUGGUGUCUUUGGCAAAGUGCAAAGGGUUUUUCUCAACAGUUACAGGGGCUGUGGUGGUUUUAAUUGAACAGACGCAAAUUAUCCAUUGAUGGCUAUCUUUAAGAAUGGAAUGAAGAGGUUUUGAAAAUGUUGGCUUAAGAUUCUGUUUGACCUUGUACAGUAAGAGAGCUCAAGGAACAAAAUGACAUGGAGCGAUAGAGUACCUAAGCUGCCAGUAUCCUUAGAAAUGAGCAAACGAGGUUUAGGGUUUCUUUAAGUUUUCUAUAUGAUUCAUAGAUAUUCUGGUGGAUGUUGUUUUUAUGGUGCUUUCAUUUCAUCCCAGAGAAGAUAAAAAUGCAGUGUUACUCUUGAAAGGAAGGGUUUUUUUUUUUUUUUUUUUUUUUUUUUAAUCUGACUUGUUUA